GCGGCUUGGAGCAUUUCUGAUCACAUCCAUUAGCCAGAACUAUUAUAUGAUGCCAUCUAACUUCUAGAGCUAAGAAACCUACUCUUUCCUUUGUACUCUAGAGAAGAAAAGUAAAAUGGGGUUUGGUAAACAGAAGCCUACAUAAUUGGCAGUCCAUACAACUCGAAAUGCCUGUGCUUCACAACUUCCUGAGAAAGUGACUUCAGGCAAUACUUUUCCAAUGAACUAUAUCUUGUGCCACAUGACCCUGGCCCGAAGAGCAGAAAUCAGUGCUCGAGGCAAAGACGACUAUGUAUUCAGGCAUAAACUGCUUCUAAUGGGAUCCAACCAGCUUUAUGGGAAUGUAGUCAGAGACUGCCUAUAAAGGAUGGUCCAUGUAAUAUUACAACAUUGACUCAGCUAGCUCUUCUCUCCUGAAAGUAUAAAUAAGUCAUACCAAAAAAGAUGAGCACGGGUCAUCUUUCAAGGGGUCUGCAUUGACAAGAAGUUACCAAAACUAUUGGCUCUGGAAACCAGCUGAAUCAUGAAGAAAGGAGCUGUUUUGCCCUCCAUAACGCUGCUAUACAUUCACAUUUGGAUGGACUGGAACAGUUUCCCGAAUUACCUCGCUUUCAAAGUUAUCCUUAUCAGAAACUUCCAUCACCUAAUAUACCUGAGAGCAUCUCCUCCUUACAACAUUAAUAUGCAACACAAUGCAGACUGCCAUGAUCAUUGGAACUUCAGUGCUCUGGAAAUGGGUAUGUGUAAGGGUAAGAAAGAUGAGAAACCAGGUCUCCAUCU